AAUGUAUGGGAUUUUGACUUUUCAGUUGUAACAUUGACCAUUGGUCUUAUUCAAAAAAUUUUGAAAGUAUUAUUUUUUUUAUUUAUGAUUUGCUUUACUAUGAAAAGUACUUCAAUCACGACUUAUCAUUUUUAAUAUUUGCAAUAAUUUUUUGAAUAAGACGAAUGGUCAAAGUUACAAGCAAAAAGUCAAAAUCCCAUACAUU
rnacentral:pre_miRNA from 1 species